CUAGGGUUUCAUUCUCUCCUUUACACAUUUCACCUAUCUCUCAUUUUUCUCUGGAUUCUUCAUCUUCUUCGUUCUGCUGAAGAUCUAUUGAAGAUCUUGUUGAUUUGUUGGUUCAAUUCGAUAUUGUUGUAGAUCCUGUGGAUCACUGUAUCUUUGGUUGUAUUAUUCUAAUUAAUCACUGAUAAUCAUCAGUUAAUUAUAUCUCUUUGUAUUGUUUGUUUUAGAUCUUACAAUUUGUAAGAUCUUGGGAGGUUGGGAGCUUUUAGGGUUGGUUAACUAAUAAAAGUUUUUCGUCACGUUUUGUCACUAUAUCUAGUGUUGUUGUUUAUCUUCUGUAUUUCUGUGUUGUUCUAUACCAAUUUUACAUGGUAUCAGAGCGAAAUCGCUCCUGACCUGUGUUGUUUUCGCUGUGAUUUUGACUGAUUGUUGAUUUUUGUGAUUUAGGUUCGCUCCUGGUGUUCUAGGAUUUGCGGAUCUAACUGUUGUGGUUUUAGAUCGUCUCGAUCUAGUCUUUGAAGGCAUGCGUUAGUCUUUGUAGCCCUACAAGGCUACAAGGCAAACUAACUGGGUGUUUGUGAUAUUUGCUGCUUUUGAUCUGAUUUUAUAACCCUAGAAAGUUAUUGAUCGGAUUUGAUUAAGGAGGGAGUUAAACGCUGUUUAGUGAGCUCCUGCUAGGGACGUACAUUCAAGGCUUAUCUCGAAAUAGCUUUUUGUCCAUGAACAUGCUUCAACCUUAUUGUAUCUGUAAGUAGUAGUCGCACAUAAAACGAGUGUUUAAGAUUUGCGACUUAAUAAUCAUUUUGCUUGAAGACAGUGAUAAAGAUGUGUGGCCAAAUGCAUGUAACACCUGGUCGAAAACGAGUACCCAAGCCUUGAGACUUGUUGGUUGUUUCGCCUAGGUAGUGACUAUAUAACACUUACUAUUGAUAGCUAUCCAAGCCCUAAGACUUGUAAGCGUAAAACAUAUCUAAAGAUAAGCGCCAAUAUCCCGAUACUUGGGCGCCAUUCAACUUGGAGGUUGUCACUAGGGAAUGAGCCUAAAUGUAAAUAACAUAAGUUCAGAGACAAGUUCCUAAGAUCUAAGGCUUUUGUAUAACACAUGUUCAAAGAUAGCUUGUCAAGAGACUUGAAUGUCAUUCCACCCGAAGGUAGCGACUUGGACCUGAGUCCAAAUGUAUAUAACACAUGUCUAUAUACUCGUGUCCAAGAAGUGAUACAAAUUUGUGGUGAAAUGCAUGUAAAACCUGGUCGAUAUGUGAAAGUUCGGUGUCUGUCCGUGUGUCACAUGUCUUAUGAUUCGGCAUAUGAUCAAGUCCAGUACAAAGUUGAAGUA